rnacentral:rRNA from 2 species
CGACCCCAGGUCAGGCGGGAUCACCCGCUGAGUUUAA